CCAGUAGUCAUAUGCUUGUCUCAAAGAUUAAGCCAUGCAUGUCUAAGUAUAAGCAACUAUACAGUGAAACUGCGAAUGGCUCAUUAAAUCAGUUAUCGUUUAUUUGAUGGUACUUUACUACUUGGAUAACCGUGGUAAUUCUAGAGCUAAUACAUGCUAAAAAUCCCAACUCACGAAGGGAUGUAUUUAUUAGAUAAAAAACCAAUGCCUUCUGGCUCCUUGGUGAUUCAUGAUAACUUAACGGAUCGCAUGGCCUUGCGCCGGCGACGCUUCAUUCAAAUUUCUGCCCUAUCAACUUUCGAUGGUAGGAUAGUGGCCUACCAUGGUUUCAACGGGUAACGGGGAAUUAGGGUUCGAUUCCGGAGAGGGAGCCUGAGAAACGGCUACCACAUCCAAGGAAGGCAGCAGGCGCGCAAAUUACCCAAUCCCGAUUCGGGGAGGUAGUGACAAUAAAUACUGAUACAGGGCUCUUUUGGGUCUUGUAAUUGGAAUGAGUACAAUUUAAAUCCCUUAACGAGGAACAAUUGGAGGGCAAGUCUGGUGCCAGCAGCCGCGGUAAUUCCAGCUCCAAUAGCGUAUAUUAAAGUUGUUGCAGUUAAAAAGCUCGUAGUUGAACCUUGGGUUUGGCUGCUCGGUCCGCCUAACCGCGUGCACUGAUGCGGCCGGAUCUUUCCUUCUGGCUAACCUCAUGCCCUUCACUGGGUGUGCUGGGGAUCCAGGACUUUUACUUUGAAAAAAUUAGAGUGUUCAAAGCAGGCCUUUGCUCGAAUACAUUAGCAUGGAAUAAUAGAAUAGGACGGCGGUUCUAUUUUGUUGGUUUCUAGAGCCACCGUAAUGAUUAAUAGGGAUAGUCGGGGGCAUCAGUAUUCAAUUGUCAGAGGUGAAAUUCUUGGAUUUAUUGAAGACUAACUACUGCGAAAGCAUUUGUCCAAGGAUGGUUUUCAAUUAAUCAGUGGACGAAG
rnacentral:rRNA from 1 species